UGAAGGCCUACCAGGCGGAGGUGGAC
rnacentral:piRNA from 1 species